rnacentral:rRNA from 1 species
AGUGUAGGCAGCUAUUUAAGUCGGAUGUGAAAGCCCUGGGCUCAACCUGGGAAUUGCAUUCGAAACUGGGUAGCUAGAGUUUGGUAGAGGUAAGUGGAAUUCCGGGUGUAGCGGUGAAAUGCGUAGAUAUCCGGAGGAACAUCAGUGGCGAAGGCGGCUUACUGGACCAAAACUGACGCUGAGGCUCGAAAGCGUGGGGAGCAAACAGGAUUAGAUACCCUGGUAGUCC